UACGUAGGGUCCGAGCGUUAAUCGGAAUUACUGGGCGUAAAGCGUGCGCAGGCGGUUUUGUAAGCCAGAUGUGAAAGCCCCGGGCUCAACCUGGGAACUGCAUUUGGGACUGCAGGGCUGGAGUACGGCAGAGGAAGGUGGAAUUCCACGUGUAGCGGUGAAAUGCGUAGAGAUGUGGAGGAACACCAAUGGCGAAGGCAGCCUUCUGGGCCAACACUGACGCUCAUGCACGAAAGCGUGGGGAGCAAACAGG
rnacentral:rRNA from 1 species